rnacentral:snRNA from 8 species
AUCGCUUUUCGGCCUUUUGGCUCAGAUCAAGUGUAGUAUCUGUUCUUAUCAGUUUAAUAUUUGAUACGUCCCCCAUCGGGGGACUACAUAUUAAAUGGAUUUUUCGAACAGGGAGUCGGAAAUGGGGCUUGCUCCGUCCGCUCCACGCAUCGACCCGGUAUUGCAGUACCUCCGGGAACGGUGCAACACUU